UGACCACGCACCUCAGAGCCCCACCACAAAGCUCUGCCUUGGUGACUGCAGCACCCGCCCUGCGUCAGAUGGGGACUUUUGCUUUGUGAUCCCCAGGGGUUGGGCAGAGAUGAGGUCAACUCCCCGUUGAAAAUCCCACCAUGAAGGAAUGGGCAAGCAGGGCCUUCAUCUGGUCCCCAGGGCAGCUAAUUUAGCUGGGUUUGCUUUAAUGAAGGAUCUGAGCAAGAAGAUACUUUUUGGCUCUCAGUUGGAAUAGAGAAAUCACCACAUCUCAGCUUUUGGGAGACUAGCACGUGGGAAAAACAGCUGUUACUUUGGCAGAGUGGUAAUAACAGACUGCAAGCCAUAAAGGAGAAAGGUGGACAUGAUGUCGUCUUCCUCUCUGGAGACCUGCACUUUGCAGCUGCUGAAAUGUGUUGAGGUGCAGAGAAGGGACAGUCCUAGGAAGAAGGACCAGGAUAAUGCACUGAGGUGAGGACCCAGCUGCUCCUCUGUCGUCCUGAAGUAUGACCACCUGUCUUUCAGCCUAUCUUUUGUAAGAGGAAAACCUUGUGGCUCAUGUAGCAGCAGCUUUUAAGCACAGAGCCGCCUGAGCAGGCCACAGGAUACUGGCACCCUUCAGAGCAGGCACACGGCUGAGCAGGUUUGGUCAGGCACAAGGGAAGGAGGGAAAUGGUUCAGGGCACGAGUCCUUACAGAGGAUUAAGUCAGUAAUGGAGGCCACAUGGUAUAGGUCGAGAUAAUGGGUCCGUGCACCUGGCAGCAGCAGGAUGUAGAGGAGAAAUGGGAAUUUGACACUGUUGGGUUGCUCUCACCUGGGGCAUUUGCCUCCUUAUGCUCCAUUGUCUCUUCUGGGAGAUGCUCCGCAGCUCACCAACACCCUGCCUGCACCUCCACUGCAGGAGGAGCUGUGAAUUUUCAAAGGCAUCAAGGCUCAGGCAGUUGCAUCUGUAUUUUUACCAGCAAUAACUUUUGAACUGAUGAAUUUCAAUCAAAUAUGAAAGCGGGCUGGAAGACUUGAGGAUAAUUUGGUUACCAUACAUUUCUAGAGAAGAAAGACCCAAAUGAACGGCUGAGCUGAGGUGACGGGAAGCGCACCCAUGCCAUUAUCCAGUCUGCCGACGGCCCUGCCAGCUGAUAUACAGAGAUUGCCUACAGAUUGCACCGUGGGGCAUUUGUAAGGAAUCUGGCCUAGCUGGUGAGUAGAAGACCAGAACACGAAAGCCCAAGGCUCGACACAUGGUAGGCGAGACCCAUGAUCUGGGCAUGGGGUCUGGAUGGGGUAAGUGUCUAGUGCAUGUCUGCCUGUGGAUGAGGAGAGUGAGAACUCUACAUGCCCUCUGGUGACUUUCAGUCCUCAUCAGCUGCAGGGGAAGGGGGAACAGUCAGGACUGCCUGUGUUGUCGAUGUCCACGUGAGUACUACUAGCAGUUUUAUGGGGUAAAGAUACUGUUCUCUGUCCAUACUGGUCUGUGUGGCCAGCCAUGUAUGUUUUGUGCUCAUCUGCAUCUUUGGGACACGUGCUUUGCUAGGUGCAGACACCUGCAAAUGGGAAAACUGGCAAGUAGGCCGGUGAGGAGAAAUUCCCUGGGUCUUCAAGCCCACUGGAUUCAGCAUGAAUCUUGGCACAAUGCUUUCUAGAAUCACCUUUGUUCCUCAUUAGGGGAAUGUAUUUCAGCUUUCAUGGGGAAUUUAUUGCAAGAACUCACUGCUGAUGGAGACAAAUUUCCGCAGACAGGAGUUUCCAAAGAGGGGAUUAGUGACUUGCUGUGGUUAUGGAGCAGGGCAACAAGUCCAGCUGGUCUGUGGAAACAGAUUAAACAUGGGCCAUUUCCAGUUAAAACUUUGAAUGUGAACGGAAAAAUUAAAAAAAAAAAAAAAAGGAAGACUUCAUCCCAAAAUCUUGGGAAGUGCAGCAUCAUAUCUUCCAAAUCUAAACUGUGUGCUCAAAUUCAUUUUCUGCACACGUGAUAUACCUGGUGUUUGAUGGCGCAUGUCUGAGAAAGGUGAUUUGCAUUACCAGCACUGAAAUGAGUGGCCUAGAUAUGCUCUUCCUUGUAAUAUAAUUGUAAAUGGAUUUUGCUUCUAAAACACCAUGACAUUGAUUUCCUACAAAGUGACAGUCUUGUCUCAUUACCUAGAUUCAUUUGUUAUCUGAUGGAUUUUAAUAGCAAAGAUCUGAAAUCUGAUGAUUAACCCCCACCCCCAAAAGAAAAAAAAAGUUCAGAGCCAUGUCACAUCCUUAACAGGAGCUUCAAAAAAGAAGCAUGACAAGCAGUGUUUGGGAAGAAAUUCAUGCUAUUUGAAGUGAUGGCAGGGAGUCUCAAAACAAAAGGAAGACAUUGAAGAAUGAGAGAGACAGGAGAGAAAUCUUGGAUUGCAGAGGCAUUAGUAUCAAACAAGCAAGCAUAGUGCCCCUGCCAGAAAAGAGCUGAUCUGUGUAUAUGUCCAAAUUGAUCUGAAUUCAGCCCCUGGCUAUGUUGCCUUACUAUUUCUCUGGAAGUGGUCUUUCUAAUAGUUAGGUCUUCAGUCUCCUGGCUGUAAAGGAUCAGUAUCACUUCCCUCAGUUCAGCAUGGUUAUGUGCCACAAAGAGCUAGAUUUUCACUAGGAUGGAUUUAACUGCCUAGUCACAUGCAUUUAACAGAUGUAGAAACUGCAGCUUCUGAAUUUCUGGGGUGGAUCACAAGCCACUUGUGCUAGACACAGGAGAAAAAAGAAGGAGUACGGCAUGUGUACAGGAAAUAUAAGGCUGAGGAAAAAGGCCUUGGAAGUGAGCAAGGAUACUGGGCUCAGUGGCUGGGUGCACGUGAGGAUCGGCCAUGUUGGGAUCCCUUGCUGGCAGCAGUUCCAUGUGGGAGAUGCCUGUGUGGAGCCCCAGUGGGACUGGAAGAAGAGAGGGCUGACCAGAACUUCCUCUGGAGCAGCGAGUCCAUAUCAUGGCUGCUUCAACACAGCUCUGGCCUUGUGCUCAUGGUUGGGUCCAGCAGGGUAACCAGGACAGAGAAGUUAUCGGUGUCACUGGUCAGGGCUAUCACAACUUUCCCAUACAUCACAUUGCCUGCAAGGCUAGGCCUCAAACCACUUGGGAGUGGUUUCCCUUGGCUGGUGGAUAGAGAGUCAACACUGGCCUGCUGUCACCCCAUCUACUGCGAGCAGAUAUGUAAAGAUUGUGUAUAUAUUUGAAUUAGGCCAUGGAGGUAGUGGUGGGGGAGAGCAGGGUGCAGCUUUGGUGAGGAGGAGGCACAGACAGUGAGCUGAAAACUGUGACCUGUUGUGGAGCUGGGCUCUUUGGCAAAGCACAAAGCACCAGAGGUUGGAAAGCUCAGCAGAGCAGUCCCAGUGACUGAAUACAUUGCACAGGAGACUUCUGGGCUCAUGCCAAAUGCUCUUGAAGUAUUUCUGCUAACUUAGGCCUGGAAUAGGAAAGGUUAUGCGCAAAAGAACGAAUGUGCAGAAGUGCAUGGAGAAUUUAUAACUAAAUGAAAAGCCAGUGUGCAGAGUUGUGUCUAAUUGGUUUCCGAGACCCAGAAAGCCACACAAUGUCCUUAGGCUGUGCCUGCCUUUAUUUAAGUGGGAAAGUUUUUGGGAUCCUUGGGAGAGGGAGAACUCGUGUGACAGCAAAUGAAAAAUGUGAGGCCUGAAGCAGUGGCCUUAUGUUAACUUCAGGUUGGAGGAGACCCAAAUUCAUUGCAAAGGCUACUGCGAGGCGUGCUGGAGACAACCUUGCUGCCAUACACCACGAAAGAUAUCUGGGUUUUUCUUCACGUCUGACUGC